rnacentral:misc_RNA from 1 species
GACGACGACGACGACGACGACGACGACGAUCACUUCUGCCACGCUGUUGCUGUUUCAGCACAGGUUAACAACAUGGAGGCAAAGGAGAGGGAAAAGCCGUUAGUCAAAGAUUUGAACGAACAUAUCGUAUGUCCCCUGUGCAGAGGAUAUCUCAUAGACGCUACGACUCUUGUGGAAUGUCUACACUCCUUUUGCAGAGGUUGUAUCGUUCGACGUCUGAGUAGUGGCGCCCGCGCGUGCCCCGUGUGUAGCGUUGCGACGUCGCCACCUCUCUUGCCGGAUAUGCGACUCCAACGGCUGGUGUACCUUGCGGUGCCUGGUCUCUUCCGGUCGGAGCUUGAACGUAGAUGCCAUUUCCGUCUGGUGAAUCCGCAAUGUCCGCCUUUGGCACCGCCCGUGGGUGCUCUCGAAUUAACACUGGAUGAUCUCGUCAGUCUAAGCUUGCAAGAGUUAGAGGACACGGAAGACGAAAUACCGAAGAAAGAACGCGGCUCGUCGAAGAAGGAUGUGCCAACGGAGAACAAAAGUACAAGCGGAAGCACGAGGUAUCUCAAGUGCCCAGCUGCUGUGACAGUGCGUCAUCUGGUGAGACUGCUGAUGCUGAAAAGAGGUUGGGAAGAGGCUAACGCGACCGUCAACGGUAUCAUUAAUAGGAUAAAGAUUUUGUACCAGAAACACGAGACACAGCACCCCGACGAGUUGAAUAUGUAUCCGCUGGAUCCCUCUUGGACACUUCUAGAUCUUGCUUGCAUAUUUCAAUGGAAGAGGGAGGCGCCAAUGAAGCUAUUCUAUCGGGUGUUGCGAAAGGAUGGGCAGAUUUCGAUCUCGAAAGUUCCCGCAUACAAAGACGAUGUGACCAAGGAUGUUCCGCCAGCGAUGGAAAAUAUACAGCGACCACCGACCCCACCACCUAGUCCCAAGCCCAAUCGUGAGCACGAAGAGGAAGCUCGUAACAUAGAGCCACCUCGUGCUCUCGAAACAAAUGUCAAUGUCCGUGACAAAGAGAUAAAAACGAAAAAACCACGUUGUGAGGUGACUCCCGUUAUGCGUACUCCGGAUCCUCCGUCAACCAUCGAACUGUCGACAAGCAAUCGUCAUCGGUCGCUAGAGAAAACGAAGAACAAGGAUAUGGCAAGAUUGGAACAUCGGAAGCGGCACAAACGACACAAACGAGUGAUAGCGGAGAUCACCACAGUGCCGCGCGAGGAUCUCUUGAAACUUAAGGUCCGCCUGACGCCUCGUCCUCCGAGAAUUACUUCCGGGACGACAGGCGGUGGAGGGGGUGGGAGCGGAGGUGGUGCAAAUAACCAAACGAAGGAGAAACUGUUACAGAUGCGAGCAGUUAGACGUGACAAGCUCAAAGCGAUUGCAGUGCAGCAGCGAUCGCCAACGAGUCCAGUAGCUCGAGAGGAAACCAAAUCCAAAGAGUGCGUCGUAAUAGAGACGGAAGAAACGAUCGAGGAGAUCAUCGACAGCAUUCCUGACGAGGUCGUGCGUAUCGCGCAGAACAUAAAUAAUCAAAACGAAGAAACUAAGUUCAAGGAGUGUUCCACGACGAAAAAGAUUAAUAAGGAGGUGCCGGAACGAACGAAAACACCGGAGAGCAGUGACGAAUCGGAGAAUCCGAAGAAAGACGAGGAGAUUUUGCGGCGACUGGGCCUGGUAGCUGUUAACGAAGCCAGCGGUGACAGAAUGGCGAAGCAACGAACACAAAGUGGCACUGACAAGGUGGACAAUUUGAAUCAUGAUAAGCUAGAGAAGCAGUUGCGCGAAAACAAGGCGAACCGCGUGCGAAGCUUAUUGGCGGAGAAGAAGAUGCGUGACGCCCUCAAGACUAUUAUCUCCAAGAAGGAGGAAUUAACGCCGUCCGUCAUAAAGACGCCAGCGUCCGUUCUUACUUCCGUCGCCGCUGCUGUCACCGUCGCCACACCCGUGCCUACCGCGCCCGUGACUGUGCCUGUGAUGCCGAAGAUGAAGGAACCACCACCGUUGACGCCUAUACGCGUCGCGAAAUCAUCCAGUUUUGCCGCGACCAGCGUGAUAGUGUCGAAUAUCACUUCCAAAUAUGAAACGCCAUUAGACCUCAGCAGCGGCGGUACCACCGUCAACGAUAAUGACAACGACAACGACAAUGUUCUCGAUUUGUCUGCUACGUUACCCGGCGGCAACCAUCUUCCAUCUUUCUCACCCUCCUCCUUAUCUUCUCUCACCUCUUCCUCAUCUUCCUUACCGCUGUUGUCGAAACUGUCAGCGCGAUCUACAACCGGCGGCACCGUUGGCACGGUAGUUCGCAAAUCCAAGGAGCUAGAACAGCAACGCGGCAAAGGACAGCAAGAAUCGAAUCUGAAGACUCUUUCGGAUGUCGCAGUGUCACGUAUGAGUAGUACCGAAAAGAAUUCGCCGGUAGAAUCGCUAACCUCCGCAAACGUAAACGCUGCCGCUAAUAAGGUCGCUUUGCGCAUACCACAGCCGCAUCAUCGCAUCUCCGGUUUUGGCAUGAAAAAUUUUUAUGAAGCCCAGAACAAUAUAAAAAUCUACACUGAAAUUUGAAGAACCUAGAUUGUAGACGAAGGGUGAAAAUUUCAUCACAUUGUUGACAGAAGAGGGGUGGGAAGGGAAAGGAAAAUUGUCGACCACUCGUCGAAUUGUUGUUACCUAGAGAUAUCAAAACUACG